ACUUCUGCCCUGGGCUUGCCUUUGCUCCCACCCCCAGCAGCCUGGCCACCAGGAAGAAAGGCUCUCCUUUAUCUUUUGAUUCGGGCCAGAGUGAAACCCAGGAGACCCCCAACUCCAAAGAAAUAUCCUGAGAAAGGAAUCUUUCUACCCUGCCUCAAGUUCUGCAGACCAUUGGGAAUGGAAACUGCCUGCCUCAUGAAGUGCUAAGCUAACUCACCAAACCACGGAGGUCCUACCAGGCAUUUGCGCAGCCGGUAACCCCCUGCAGUAAAGUUGCAAAGAAUGAAUGGGGAUUGGAAUAUGCUGAGUGCCUGCCUUGGCCUGGCAUCUGACUUCUGUUCAUUCAUCACAGUCAUCCAACGAGGAGCAUCCAACAGGGCCUGUGCUUCAAUGGGGAAUACGAAAUGAACACACCUCCCAGCUCCCAAGAACACACACUCCAGAGGGGCAGACAAAGUGUGAACACAGGCACUUCAUGCAGAGCUGCUAGGAGCCCAUAGUGGCUUUUGGAACAGGUGGGUUUAUUUUAUUUUAUUUAUUUAUGUAUUUAUGUAUGUAUGUAUGUAUUUUACUUUUUAG